rnacentral:rRNA from 1 species
GUGGCUAAUUUGACUCAACGCGGGGAAUCUUACCGGGUCCGGACACACUGAGGAUUGCCAGACAGUUGUCUUUCCCUCCCUUCGGGGUGGGAUUACAAAAGAUAACAGAUCUUUCAUGAUCAUGUGAUGGGUGGUGCAUGGCCGUUCUUAGUUCGUGGAGUGAUCUGUCUGCUUAAUUGCGUUUCAAAUUUUAUAUUUGUUAACAUGCGAGUCUUCAAUGACGGCCACUCCACCUUAUAGACAUUAUAUGAUAUGCACAUUUGUGUAUUUGAUUAUAACUUGUCUGGAGUCUGGCUCGAUUUUUUUGACUCAAUUGAACGCAACGGACGUGAUUGCAAGUCCUUGUUGAACAAAUUAUAUAUAUACUACUUCAUCAUUAGUAUAUAUAGUUCGCUUCUCAUGUCGUAGCAGUCAAACGGGCGGGCGUCUUAAUUGGCGCGGUCACGAGGCUUAAUAUGCUGCGGCUGGGAAAACUUGGGCGACCGCUGUAAUACUUCUCUCUUAAACCAGAGGAAGAUUGCGGCAAUAACAGG